rnacentral:rRNA from 1 species
GACGAACGCUGGCGGCGUGCUUAACACAUGCAAGUCGAACGAUGAAGCCGGAGCUUGCUCUGGUGGAUUAGUGGCGAACGGGUGAGUAACACGUGAGUAACCUGCCCUUGACUCUGGGAUAAGCGUUGGAAACGACGUCUAAUACCGGAUACGAGCUAGGACCGCAUGGUCACUAGCUGGAAAGAACUUCGGUCCAGGAUGAGCUCGCGGCCUAUCAGGUAGUUGGUGAGGUAACGGCUCACCAAGCCUACGACGGGUAGCCGGCCUGAGAGGGUGACCGGCCACACUGGGACUGAGACACGGCCCAGACUCCUACGGGAGGCAGCAGUGGGGAAUAUUGCACAAUGGGCGCAAGCCUGAUGCAGCAACGCCGCGUGAGGGACGACGGCCUUCGGGUUGUAAACCUCUUUUAGCAGGGAAGAAGCGAAAGUGACGGUACCUGCAGAAAAAGCACCGGCUAACUACGUGCCAGCAGCCGCAGUAACAC